CCUCCUCCGACGCGUCGCUUCCCCGGGCGAGGAGAAGCCUUGAUUUUUCUGACCUCCCCCGACAGAAGCCGCAACUGCCUUGCUCCACCACCGCCACAGCUCACCGCCGCCGUAACUGCCUCCUCCGCCACUCUCUCCUGCUCGCGCAGCUCCAGCUUGCCUUCCUCCCCUAGCUUCCCCCUCCCUAGUGACCUCCGCGCUCUGCUCCGUCUGCUUCAGAUCCGGCGUCGGCGAGGCUGAUAUGGUGGCUGCGAGGCCAGACGGUAGGAGACGUAGCCGACGAGCCCGACGACAGCAAGCUCGAUGGCGAGCUCGACGGCGGCGGAGACGUCUUCUGUACUGCGAGCUCCACCAUCCCUGCACAUACUGUACUGCGAGCUCGACGACGACGGUGGCGUCUUCUUGGAAGAAAAAGGGCCCAGGGGAAAGAACGCUGACGUUGGGGGCAAGACUCAUCGAGCAGGUGGCAAGUGAGAUCUUCAAAGCUUCGCAAGGAUGGCGCUUCGGGGUUCCGCGGCUGAAGGAUUAGGGAAGCUGCGACAUUUCAAGAGCUUGCUGCUGCUUUUGCUUUAGACUUGUCUUCUCCUCCGUUUAGCCUUUUGUGAUGGAAACUUGUAAUGAUCUGACUAUCCGGGGGGUGGGGGCUGUGUCCCUGGCCACUCCUUGCGCGGGUUUCGCUUUUACUCUCUGUUCCGCUUCUUAUUGUAAGACUUCUAGACUGCUCGUGGCUUCGGCCUGGUUUCUAUAAUGGAAAUCGGAGGGGAAACCCUCUUUUGCUCAAAAAAACAUGUUAAGGAAAAAGUUAGAGGAGGAACUUUCAAAGAUUAAUAAAGAGGAGGAGAUAAUGUGGUUACAGAGAUCGAAA